rnacentral:rRNA from 2 species
UAGGGAAUAUUGGUAAUGUGCGAAAGCGCGAACCAGCAACGCCGCGUGCACGAUGAAGGCCUUCGGGUUGUAAAGUGCUUUUAGAGAGGAUGAGGAAGGACAGUACUUUCUGAAUAAGCCUCGGCUAACUACGUGCCAGCAGCCGCGGUAAAACGUAGGAGGCUAGCGUUAUCCGGAUUUACUGGGCGUAAAGCGCGUGCAGGUGGUUUCGUAAGUUGGAUGUGAAAGCUCCUGGCUUAACUGGGAGAGGUCGUUCAAAACUGCGAGGCUUGAGAGUGGUAGAGGGAGGUGGAAUUCCGGGUGUAGUGGUGAAAUGCGUAGAUAUCCGGAGGAACACCAGUGGCGAAAGCGGCCUCCUGGACCAUUUCUGACACUCAGACGCGAAAGCUAAGGUAGCAAACG